rnacentral:rRNA from 1 species
AUACGGAGGGGGCUAGCGUUGUUCGGAAUUACUGGGCGUAAAGAGCAUGUAGGCGGAUAGAUUAGUCAGAGGUGAAAGCCCCGAGCUCAACUCGGGAACUGCCUUUGAUACUGUUUAUCUAGAGACCGAGAGAGGUGAGUGGAAUUCUCAGUGUGGAGGUGAAAUUCGUAGAUAUUGGGAAGAACACCAGUGGCGAAGGCGGCUCACUGGCUCGGAACUGACGCUGAGAUGCGAAAGCGUGGGGAGCGAACAGGAUUAGAAACCCUAGUAGUCC